rnacentral:rRNA from 1 species
AAGUGAAUAAGUGCAUAUGGUGGAUGCCUUGGCGGUCAUAGGCGAUGAAGGACGUGGAAGUCUGCGAAAAGCCUCGGGGAGCUGGCUAUCAAGCAUAGAUCCGGGGAUAUCCGAAUGGGGAAACCUCACCGAAGGGUGAUCGUAUUACUGAAUACAUAGGUAAGCGAGGCGAACCUGGCGAACUGAAACAUCUAAGUAACCAGAGGAAAAGAAAUCAAUUGAGAUUUCCUGAGUAGUGGCGAGCGAAAGGGAAGGAGCCUGUACGAGAUAGUACAACGAUUAGGCGAACAGUUUGGGAAGGCUGGCGACACAGGGUGAAAGCCCCGUAGUCAAAAAUCGAUGUAUGGGACUAGGCGUACGAUAAGUAGGGCGGGGCACGUGAAACCCUGUUUGAAGAUGGGUGGACCAUCAUCCAAGGCUAAAUACUCAUGACCGACCGAUAGCGAACAAGUACCGUGAGGGAAAGGUGAAAAGAACCCCUGUUAGGGGAGUGAAAUAGAAUCUGAAACCGUAUGCAUACAAACAGUGGGAGCUGCGUGCGAGCGUGGUGACUGCGUACCUUUUGUAUAAUGGGUCAGCGAGUUACGUUGAUUGGCGAGCUUAACCGGAUAGGGGAGGCGAAGCGAAAGCGAGUCUGAACAGGGCGAAUAGUCGAUUGAUGUAGACCCGAAACUGGAUGAUCUAUCCAUGGCCAGGGUGAAGUUCAGGUGACACUGAAUGGAGGCCCGAACCCGUUACUGUUGAAAAAGUAUGGGAUGAGCUGUGGAUAGGGGUGAAAGGCCAAUCAAAUCCAGAGAUAGCUGGUUCUCCCCGAAAACUAUUGAGGUAGUGCCUCAUGUGAUGUCUGCUAGGGGUAGAGCACUGUUAUGAUUGGGGGGGGCAUUGCGCUUUACUCCGUCAUGGCAAACUCCGAAUACUAGCAAGAUUAGCAUGGGAGACAGUCUUAGGGUGCUAACGUCCUAGGACGAGAGGGAAACAACCCAGACCGCCGGCUAAGGUCCCGAAGUAUGAUUAAGUGGUUGACGAAGUGAGAGAGCAGAAACAGCCAGGAAGUUGGCUUAGAAGCAGCCAUCCUUUAAAGAAAGCGUAAUAGCUCAC